UAGAUUGAUUUAUUUAUUUUGGAGAGAGCAUGGCGGGGAGGGGCAGAGGGAGAGGAAGACAAGCAGACUCCCUGCGGAGCGCAGUGCUGGAAGCAGAGUUCUUUCCCAGGACCCAGAGAUCGUGACUUGAGCCCAAACCAAGAGUUGGACACUCAACUGACUGAGCCACACAGGCACCCCAAGCCACAUACCUGACAACAAAAAGACUAUGGAGGGGCUACCAAGGAAAAAAGAUAAGCCCCACUUUUGUGGUUGCCUCAGGGUGGAUAUACGCGCACAAGUGUGGGAUCUGGUGCUGCCAUUGCUGGUGCUGCCAUCGGUGUUGCUGGUGUCACCAGGCAUCCUGGGGGCACAAAGAGAAGGUUUCAUAUUGCCUUCUCAGGCUAGCCAAGGUGAGAAGCUGACCACCA